rnacentral:rRNA from 1 species
UACGAAGGGGGCUAGCGUUGUUCGGAAUUACUGGGCGUAAAGCGCACGUAGGCGGAUUUGUAAGUCAGGGGUGAAAUCCUGGAGCUCAACUCCAGAACUGCCUUUGAUACUGGCGACCUUGAGUCCGGGAGAGGUGAGUGGAACUGGCGAGUGUAGAGGUGAAAUUCGUAGAUAUUCGCAAGAACACCAGUGGCGAAGGCGGCUCACUGGCCCAUACUGACGCUGAGGCACGAAAGCGUGGGGAGCAAACAGGG